CGCAGGCGGUCGUUCAAGUCGAGUGUGAAAGCCCCCGGCUCAACUGGGGAGGGUCACUCGAUACUGAUCGACUUGAAGGCAGGAGAGGGAAGCGGAAUUCCCGGUGUAGUGGUGAAAUGCGUAGAUAUCGGGAGGAACACCAGUGGCGAAGGCGGCUUCCUGGCCUGUUCUUGACGCUGAGGCGCGAAAGCUAGGGGAAGCAAACG
rnacentral:rRNA from 1 species